rnacentral:rRNA from 1 species
UACGUAGGGUCCGAGCGUUGUCCGGAAUUAUUGGGCGUAAAGAGCUCGUAGGCGGUUUGUCGCGUCUGCUGUGAAAUCCCGAGGCUCAACCUCGGGUCUGCAGUGGGUACGGGCAGACUAGAGUGCGGUAGGGGAGAUCGGAAUCCUGGUGUAGCGGUGAAAUGCGCAGAUAUCAGGAGGAACACCGGUGGCGAAGGCGGAUCUCUGGGCCGUAACUGACGCUGAGGAGCGAAAGCUGGGGAGCGAACGG